rnacentral:rRNA from 1 species
GGUGAACGCUGGCGGCGUGCUUAAGACAUGCAAGUCGAACGCAGUCUUCGGACUGAGUGGCGCACGGGUGAGUAACACGUAACUGACCUACCCCCAAGUCGCGAAUAACCAGCCGAAAGGAUGGCUAAUACGUGAUGUGAUGAUCCGCUGUGGCGGAGCAUUAAAGACUUGAUCGCUUGGGGAUGGGGUUGCGUUCCAUCAGCUAGUUGGUAAGGUAAAGGCUUACCAAGGCAACGACGGAUAGCCGGCCUGAGAGGGUGGCCGGCCACAGGGGCACUGAGACACGGGUCCCACUCCUACGGGAGGCAGCAGUUAGGAAUCUUCCACAAUGGGCGCAAGCCUGAUGGAGCGACGCCGCGUGAGGGAUGAAGGUUCUCGGAUCGUAAACCUCUGAACCAACGACUCCCGACCCGACAAGGGAGAUGACGGUAGUUGGGUAAUAGCACCGGCUAACUCCGUGCCAGCCGCCGCAGUAAUAC